CGGACGAACCUCUGGUGUGCCAGUUGUCCUGCCAAGGGCAUGGCUGGUUGGCUACGUUCGGAAAGGAUAACCGCUGAAAGCAUCUAAGCGGGAAGCCUGCUUCGAGAUGAGGACUCCCACCCCCUUUGAGGGGUUAAGGCUCCCAGUAGACGACUGGGUUGAUAGGCCAGAUAUGGAAGCCCGGUAACGGGUGGAGUUGACUGGUACUAAUAGGCCGAGGGCUUGUCCUCAGUUG
rnacentral:rRNA from 1 species